UGCUCUGCUGUGGGUUCUCUACAACUUAGAGCACCAGGCAAUGGCUCGGAGGCCUCCACUGCCGCCAGGAGUCGGAGAGCCGGAAGGGUGUCCGCUGAACGCUGGAAACUGCUCCAAUGCCCACGAACAGUGAAAUGAAUACAGGGGUCCCUUCCUACUUACUGGGCUGGAUGGAAAAGAAUGAAUGGCUGAUGUGCAGAACAGCGUGGAGGAAUCUCAGAAACACUUGGAUUGAGUGAAAGAAGCCAGGCCGAGAAAAGUGUGCAGAAAAAUGCGCACCGCGCCCGGUGGAGUGGCAGGUGGCUGCUGGCCUCUGGGCGCCGACCAGUCCUGCGUCCGUUCAGCGAGCGCACCCCAGCGUCCCUGGCAGCUCUGCAUCCGCUCUUGAUCGUCCUUCCAACUGGUUGCAACGAUUGUAAUGUGCCGGUUCCCUCGUUCGUUAAUGAGUUAAAUAAAAUCUCUGACACGUGUUCAUUUUA